rnacentral:rRNA from 1 species
AACGAACGCUGGCGGCAUGCCUAACACAUGCCAGUCGAACGAGACCUUCGGGUCUAGUGGCGCACGGGUGCGUAACGCGUGGGAACCUGCCCUUAGGUUCGGAAUAACUCCCCGAAAGGGGUGCUAAUACCGGAUAAUGUCUUCGGACCAAAGAUUUAUCGCCUUUGGAUGGGCCCGCGUUGGAUUAGCUAGUUGGUAGGGUAAAAGCCUACCAAGGCGACGAUCCAUAGCUGGUCUGAGAGGAUGAUCAGCCACACUGGGACUGAGACACGGCCCAGACUCCUACGGGAGGCAGCAGUGGGAAAUAUUGGACAAUGGGCGAAAGCCUGAUCCAGCAAUGCCGCGUGAGUGAUGAAGGCCUUAGGGUUGUAAAGCUCUUUUACCCGGGAUGAUAAUGACAGUACCGGGAGAAUAAGCUCCGGCUAACUCCGUG